UUAAAUGUCCAGCAAACGACGGCAAUGUUGCCAGAUUCCCUUUAGCGGGAAUUUUAAAAUUUUAUAGCAGUUUGGUUUUAAAUUUGACAGUUCUGUUUUGUCAAGUCAAAAAUCUUAACCUUACUUUUACAAGUGAUUAGGAUUAUUAUUUUAUUUACAUAUAAAUUGAAACAAUAAAUAUUGUGCUGUGUCAUAAUUUAAAACUCAUUAUGUUGCAGUCUUUUCCAGUUGAUAAAAUUGCAAUUCAAAAACUUUUAGAUUUGCACUAGAUUGGCACAGAAAGAGAACAGUACAAGAACAUGAAACAUCUUAUUAUGAAUGUAUAUGUAAGUGAUCCUCAAAAAAUUAUUUUACAAAACAAGAUAGAGAAAGAGCUUUAAAAUCCCAAGGAUCCUGCAAAAUGUUUAUUUGGUGUACUAGUCGAAUAAUAGUAUCUAAAAAUAUUGAAACUAUUUUAAAACAUAUUACGGACACGAGGAUGAUAUAGAGCACUUACAUAAAUACCAAAA
rnacentral:lncRNA from 1 species